UACACUUCAACAGAAGUCUUAUAGCGUCUUCUUUUCUCAUCAAGAUUUUCACUUUAACCCCGUUACUAUUUGCAUGAUCAUUAUCACCAUCGCCACCAUUAACUUUAUAUUUCUCCAAAGAAGUACCACUACUUUUGUUCAACUCCAAAAGGGUACUUGUUUCUUCUUCUUGUUGGGAUUUAGGUUCUAAAUCAAAUUUCACUUGUUUUUUAAUUUUGGGCUUUUUCUUAUCCAACUCAUCUCUACAAACAUAAGUAAAAUUAGUAGUACUAUCAACCUUACUAUAAUUUUUGGAGUUGAUUUUCCUACCAAAAAAUAUUUCCUUUAGUAAAGAACUAGCAAAUCCCAUAGUUAUCACCAUUUGGAUAUUUCUAGAUAGAAAAAAAAAGAGUAGGAAUAUGAAGUUUUUUAUUAGAGAAAGUAGGAUAAUUAGAAGAGAUAAAUUGAACAAGUGUUUAAAUAGAAAAGUUAUGAAUAAUUAAUAUGUGGAAGGAGUCAAAAUGAGUAAAAUUAGGGGCAAAUUAUAGUGACAUGAUCAGUCAUAACUCAAGAAUAUAAUUUUGUUUCUUAAUUAAAGAAAAAAUGGAAGUAUUUGAAACUUAUAUUUAAUGAUUAUUGUUUAAGUAAUCAAUUAAGGAGAAGAAUGAACAAGAAAAAUAAGUAAAAGUCUUUUUCAAAGUUAAAAUGAAAUAACUUUCUCAUUGACCCAGCGACAUGUUACAUGCAGUUUAUUCCACAUUCUAUAUACAAAAAAAAAAUACCGUAAUUUUACAUGUAGUGUGCGAAAAGUGUAAGAUAUAUGACUUUAUUUCAAUCUUUAUGAGGAUAUAUAGAGUGUUUUUGAUGGACUCUCGACUCAACAAUAAUAAAAUAAAUUUGGGUAUAGUAUUAGUUAGAGGCCGAGUUCUAGCUAGAGGUGGAAGGGGUCAUCCAUAUCUCUUUUGUCAGAAAAUUACAUUUAUAUACAAGAUUAAAAUUAUUGUUUAAUGUAUUUAUAGUAAAUAAUGAAUCUUUUUGGCUUCUGAGAGUAGUUAAAUUUUUAUGUUUAAAAUUUCUUUGUGAAAAUUAUGACAUUAUCAUUAAUAUCGGCACCACAAUUUUAUAUCGCCAAGACACCCACCAAACACUAUAAGUUAAUUAUGUCGAAAUUAUUAGUAGUAUUUUUUAUGCCAAUAAUCAAAUAUUAUAUUAGUUUUGUGGAGUUUGAUCUACGUUGGGAAAUAGUGGUGGAGCCACCUUAGAGUUAGGGAUCCCUGCGGCGAAAAAUUAUAUUAUUUAUAUAUGAUUAAAAUAUUUUUUUAGGUAUAGAUAGUAGAUGUUGAACUCCCUUCGACUAAUUCAUGUGUCUAUUUUAUCAAAUUUUGAACCCCCUUAUUAAAAAUCCUGGCUCCACAACUGGUUAGGAUUAUAUAUUUUAGUUGAUGCAAUCUAACCAAAUUACCCCUUAAUUAGUGUUAGUUAAUUGCUCAAGUUAAUGUAAUGUUUUGCUUUUAUUAGCCGAAACAUAUGGUUUUAAAUUUCUAGGUAACUGAUGAGUAGGAAGUUGAAAACUUUGCAAUCUUUUGGUUUAGGAAAUAAUUUUUAAUCAAAACACGUCAAGUACGUAAUUGGACCUUUUAUUCUUGACCCGAGCGCACUGAGUAAAUCUGUUUUUGUGCAAUAGCUUGUAAAUCACAUACGAUAUGUAAAUUGCAUUAUGCAAGCUCAGCCCAAGGGGUUGGAUUGAGAAGAUAUUGAUAAGUGGAAUCAAUCUCUAGCCUAACUCCCUUAUGGAAUAUCACUUGUUGCACCAAUUCAAUCACUCUUACGAAUACGUAGUUAGACUUUUAUGACAAGUAAAAAUUAAUGGAGGGAGUAUUUUAUUAAGAGCUUUCAACAUUUAAUAAAGUUUGAAUUUUCUUUUCAAACUUAUCACUUGAAUUUUAGUCAAUUAACUAGUCCAAGAACCUUAAAACAAGUCUACUAGUUGGAUUUUGAUACUUUUGAAUUGACAUAUGAUAUCUCAAUAGCACUGUUAAUCAAAGAAAUUUCUUCUUUUUGUCUGUGAUGAGAAUUUUCUUCUUGUUUUUUUCUUCUUUUUCUUUUUGAAUUUAAAUAUAUUGAAAGUUCAUAGAAACGUCUUCGACCUUAUUUAGAAUUGAGAUGUAAUUAUAGUUAUAUCUUGUGGGGGAGGUAGGGAUCAAUUGGAGCGGUUUAUCUGAAUCUAAUACAUUCUUUUAUGGAGGAAAAUUCAAUAUUUGUUUAUGAGUACAUGAGUUGGUUCUUUUGUGCUCAAUUUUAUCAAAUCCAUACCCUAAAUAGUAUAUCGAUUCGCCUCCAAGUAAAAUGAGUCUCGUGCUAAACUUGUUAAAGAUUGAAUUUGUCAAAUUUAAAUUUUGAAUCCGUCUAUGAAAAACACCUUGACCAUAAGGUGUUGGGAUGGAGACACCACAAGGCUAGUAGACAUUGGACUAGGGAAUGUUACUUCUGCGACAUGUCAAAUAAAAUUUGUCCUAAUAAGAGAAAAAAUGAACGUAGAAUUAAUGUAACCAAACGUGUUAUAUUUUGUUUCCACGUCUUCUUCUUUUUUUGUUCGUUUGAGAACAAUAUAAGUUCUUACUUCUUCUGUUUCAUUUUAUACGAUAUAUAUUAUUCAUAUAAAUUAAUUAUAAUCAAGUUAACUAAUUAUAAUUAUCCACAAAUUUUGACAGAUUGUCAUGAUAUUCUUAGUAUUUUUAUGACGGUAAAUUAUCUUAUUAAAGGUCAAAUUAUAAGCUGAAAAUUAAAUUAUUUUUAAAUAUAGGAAGAUAUCCUUAUUUUCGAAUUAACUUAUAAUAGAAUAUUAUACAUCACAUGAAUUAAAAUAAAGUAUUUUAUUUUUUUAGAAAAGAAAAUUUUCGAUUGAGUAUUAGACCAAUAAUGCAUUGUUUGAUAUACCAAGUUACCUUUAUUAAAAUAUUUUUUUGUCUUUAUAAGUUAUUUUCUUCUUAUAUUCCAUUAGUCAAAGUUAGAUUCUUGACACCAUUUCUAGUCAAAAAGACUAUCAACUUUUACAAAUGUCUUGUAUUAAUUAAAAUUUUAUUUUUCUCUUUACUUUAACCAAGAGACAAAAAGAAUUCAAUAGCUAAACUUGUCACGUAGAAGUUUUAUUAUUUAUUUAUUUUCUAUAUUUAUCUUCUCACCCCACUUCUACUACAUUUAAUUUCUUCAGAACUUCACAUCUUCUAUUCGUUGUAAUUUUAAUAAAUUUUUUAAUAUAAAUUUUUGUUUCAUAUAAAAAAUAUUGAGUUUAGUUGAAUUUAAUGUUGCAAUGUUACAUCUGUCUCUUCACCUGUCUAUCCUAGUAAAAGAGGUAAAAGAGACGGAGACUUAAAUAUUACAGUGUUUUUAGUAUGUCCAAGAAUAAUUAUUUGAUUUAAUUAACUUACAUUAUCGUAAUAAUUUUUAUAAGUUAUCAACAAAAAUUAACAUAAUAUAACAAGUUAUUUAUCCUUUAUUCUAAAAUUAUCAAUCAAUGUUAUUACAUAAAGUUAGGUACAAAAUAAACUCAAGUAUACCUCCUAGAGGCUUGAGUAAAAAAAAAAUCAUAUACAAAAUUCUCUAACCCAUAUACAAGUCCAAGUUUUAUAUAUACAACUAUGAAAUAAAUCAUAAGAAAACAAAUAAAGUAAUUAAAACUACGUAAGACGUUACGACUAAUGAGGCUGGCCAUUAAUAUCCAUUAUACUUCGUUCUUGAAAAGGUAAAUAUUAACAUAAUAUGUGAAAUUUGUAACACAUAAAAUAAUACAAAUAACCUAUUAUAUAACUAGGACAUGCUAUGUAACACAAAUAGUGUAAUUUUUUUUACGCUAUCAAUAUAUUAUAGUUGAAUCGAGAAAUUGAACCCUACAAGACACUAACGUUCUUCAGGUAUAGUCUUGAGUGAACAAUCAUGAGAUUCAUGAAUAUUGUGACUAGAAGAAGAAAUAACCCUAACACAAUUAGAAGGAAUUUGAACUAGCUCUUGGGCAACAUCCUUAAAUUUGAGUACCCCUACUUCUCUACACUUCAACAGAAGUCUUGCAGCGUCUUUUUUUCUCAUCAAGAUUUUCACUCUAACCCCGUUACUAUUUGCAUGAUCAUUAUGAUCACCAUCACCACCACUAACUUUAUAUUUCUCCAAAGAAGUACCACUACUUUUGUUCAACUCCAAAAGGGUACUUGUUUCUUCUUCUUGUUGGGAUUUAGGUUCUAAAUCAAAUUUCACUUGUUUUUUGAUUUUGGGCUUUUUCUUAUCCAACUCAUCUCUACAAACAUAAGUAAAAUUAGUAGUACUAUUAACCUUAUUAUAAUUUUUGGAGUUGAUUUUCCUACCAAAAAAUAUUUCCUUUAGUAA
rnacentral:lncRNA from 1 species